UACAGAAGCCCCAAGCGUUACCCGGAAUCACUGGGCGUAAAGGGUGUGUAGGUGGUCUGGUUAGUCGUCUGUCAAAGCCGGGAGCUCAACUUCCGAGAGGCAGGCGAAACGGCCAAACUUGAGGGUGCGAAAGGCGCACGGAACUCAUGGUGUAGGGGUGAAAUCCGUUGAUAUCAUGGGGAACACCGAAAGCGAAGGCAGUGCGCUGGCGCAUUCCUGACACUGAGACACGAAAGCCAGGGUCGCGAAUGGG
rnacentral:misc_RNA from 1 species